UCGAGCCGUCAGCAUCCUGAGCGAGCUGUUGCUGCAAAAACUGUUCAGGAAGUAAUGAAUGAAACUAUCGAGACACUUGUAAGAGGGUCUUGCAGAGGAGCAAUAACGAAUGGAGGGAGGAGACCUGUGAAUUGUGCUCUGGACCGUUCUUGAGUUUAGACUUUCAAGAGAGAAGUCAUAAAAUUUAACACGUAGAACUCCUACAUACGCCUAGAACAAGAUGGAGAAAAAGAAUGAAUUGCCUUCACCACAGAAGCAGAGUGUCAAGAGUCGGUCAAAAUCCACCGAUGAGAUUGUGCAAGCCAAAAAGGCUUUUCACACACCUCAGAUAUCCCUGCCUGGAAAACCAGAACUGGAAAAGCUGAAGGAAGCUACUGAAAGUGAAGAAGUCCUUUCCACUUCAGAAGAUGAUGAAGCAUUAGUUGAGAAGGCUCAAAAUUGACCCAGAUUCCUCAUUGUUAUUGAUUAUUGAGUACACAAAAUAUUCUGACUAGGGACGUAGGCCACAGAUGAAUAAUGUAUCCAAGGUCCCUUUCAGCAAUUCACAGAAAUGUGGUUCCCAUACUUCAAUGUUUACUUGUCACUGUAUAUCUUUAAUUGUGUCAGUAAUCAUGAUUAUUGAUUGUGUUGUCUGUGGUGGUGGGCAGUGUUUCUUUAAUCUUACUUGGUAACUGUAUGCAAAAAUUAAAAUUGUAUUUUGUGGGUGAAUCUGCUUAACUGCACUGUCAUGGAGAAACAUGGUCAAAACUGUGCCACAAAUUUUCAUCCAAUAGUUUAGUUAUUUCCCAGACAACGGAUGAAUCAGCAACAUGGUCCUUAACAUUACAAAUCAAGGUAAUUUUUAACUCUCUGCCUAGUAGAGAGUCUUGCAUGCCACAAGCAAUACUCAGAAAUUCAAGGACCACUGCCUACAAAUUGCAGCUUAAACUGCACAGUGCCAUCCUGAACUUUAGAACUGGCCUCCUGCUAUACAGAGAUCUCUUUAGCCACUGAAAGUGACAAAGCGACUCCUGAAAUGUUUACAUUGUAAAUAAAAAGUCCUUGUCUUUGAAUUUGAAAUUUCAUGUUCAUAUUCUGGGUUAUCUUCAUUCACUGUUUUCCACUAGAGAUUUUGCCAAAAAUGAGCCUUCAUUAGUUAUGUUUUCAUUUAUUCUCUUUUUGUUAGUUAGUUCUAUAUUUUUCCUUCGGCUAUUCUAAACUUCUGUAUUGAAGAAAUGAAGCUCAAACGCGAUUAAAUGAAGGGUUGCAGCACAAAACAUCAACUAUUUAUCCCCUCUGUCGAUGUUGCCCGAGUUUCUUCACAAUCUGUGUAGUUUUGACUUAAAAAGAUACAAUGCUGUGACGUUGUCUGCAUUCUAAAAUGUAAUUCUUUGUUGUGUAGUGAAAUCAAGUUUAUUGUCAUUUAAUUAUACAUGUAUAUUGUCAAAUGAGACAACAUUUCUCCGAACCAGCGUGUAAAACUCCAAACCACUAAUAGCAUCAAUAAAAUUAGUGUAGCAUUCUUGUAUGUUUGUUCCUGUGCCAUGGGAAUAAAGUGAGUGACUUUAUGUAGAUGAAUAUUUGCAAGUGUUAAUGUUUUGCCAGUGGUGCUUUGUACUAACAGAAGCAGUUCUGCAGAUGCUGAAAAUCCAACGUAAUUGCAGAGGAACGCAGCAGUUCCAACAGCAUCUAUGUGAAGGAAUAAAGAGUCAACAAUUUGGGCCAAGACCCUUCAACAAGAGUGGAAAAGGAGGAAGGAAAUUAAUAAGGUGGGGAGGGGAAGGAGUACAAGCAGGCAGUUAAUAGGGGAUGAUAUGUUAUGGGUAGGGGAGGGAAUGUAGAGAGCAGCUGGGAGUUGAGGUGAAAAAGAUAAAGGGCAGAAGAAAAAGGAAUCUGAUGGGAGAGAAGAGUUGAUCAUGGGAGAAGGAGGGAGGUGAUGCAGGUGGGAGAAAGUAAAAGGCUGCAAUGGGAAAAGGGGUGAAGUUACAGGAAGGUAGAGCCAUUGGGUUGAAGGCUACCCAGAUGGAAUUUGAGUUGUUGCUCUUCAAGCCUCUGAGUGGUCUCAAUAAUCUGUGGGCCAACAUGUCAGAGCGGGAAGUGGAAUUAAAAUAGUUGGCUACCUAGAAAUUCUCUCUGCUGCAGGUGGAGUGAAGAUGCUUGACAAAGCAGUCUCCAAUCUACAGCAGGUCUCACUGAUUUCAAAUUUGAAUUCAAGUUUAAUUAUCAUUGAAGCAUACAUACAUUCAGCUGAAAGAAACAGCAUUCCUUUGAGGUCGAGGUGCAAAACAUAGACGGCACAUUCAGCUAAAGAGAUUGUUUGGGACUCUGAAUGGUGCCGAGGGAGUUUGUGAAUGGGCAGGUGUAGCACUUACACCACUUGCAAGGAUAGUGCCAGGAGCUCACUGAGGUGGGAUGAAUGGCACUGAUAAUUGAUGACUAUUUGCAUGCAAUUCCAAAGGGAUUCACCAAAUAUUCCCAUUUAGGACUACUACAGCUGAAAUCCACAGUAACAGUCAUGGGUACUUCAGUAAGCAAUUUGUUUUAAGAUGCUUAAAAAAUCAGUUGAUCCUCAAAAUUGGUGGGCCCCAGAAUGCAGACACAGGUCUUGAGUACAUUUUCCCUUUAAGGAAACAUGGAAAACAUGUUGAUCUGUGCUAUGAUUGAAAAGCAGAGCCUCAGAUGCUGAACUCCCUGCUGGUGAAUGUACAGUCUCUGGAAAAAUAAAAAUGGAGACAUCAGUGCAGGAUUACAGUACCAGAGGGACAUCAUGGAAACAUGAUGCGGUCUCACCAUUCGGACACAGCAAGGCAGCCUGAGAGCUUCAAUAUACACUGCAAAGACUAAACAGUUGAGUGUUAAAGGUUGAGGAGGUAGCACAUACUUCAUGAUUAACUCAUCAUGGUGCACAGAUGUGGAUGUUCUAUCCCAAUCCUUCAGUCCUGGACCUGAAAUAUCCAGUGGUCAACUGUCCUCCAUUUUAUAUGCCAAGGGAGUUUUUUGCCCUCAUCCAGUAGCAGUGCAUAUUCCAUCCCCGAUCAAUGUCAGGUAUGAUCAUGGCUGAGUGUCAUGAUUAACUGUCAGAAAUCAGCGCACCCUGAUGCCCUCCUUAUUGCGGGGAUUUCAACCAGGCCAGCUUGAAGGAUUCUCUGAUCGACUACCAACAACGCAUCACCUGUGGAACCACUUGACCACUGUUACACACCAUCAAAAUUACUUAAUUUGCCAUCUUUGGAAAGUCUGAUCACCAGGCUGUAUGUCUACUCCCAGCAUACAGACAGACUGAAGACCACAGCCCAGUGAUGAGGACGAUGAAGGUAAGGUUAAGGAAACAAAGGAGAUGCUUUCAUGACUGCUUUGAGUCAGUGGACUGGACGAUAUUUGGAGAUUCAUCAUUGGAUCCGAAUAAAUAUGCUACAGUUGUCACUGACUUCAUCAAGACCUGUGUGGAUGAAUGUGUGCAUUCAAGAACAGGAUGAGUGUGUGCCUUUGAGAACAUAGUAGACAUACCCAAACCAAAAGCCAUGGAUGAACCAUGAGGUUCGUAGUCUGCUGAGGACUAGAUAGCCACACAAAAUGCUGGAGGAACUCAGCAGUGUCUAAGGAAAAGAAUAAAAAGUUGAUGUUUUGGGCUGAGACCCUUCUUCAGGACUGAGAAAGAAGGGGGAAGAUACCAGAAUAAAAAGGUGGGGGGGGGAGGGGAAAGAGGCUAGUUGAAACUCUUCAUCAGGACUGGAAUAAAAGACAGGAAGUCAGAGUAGAUGAGGGCCUCAUUCUGAAACGUUGACUGUUUACUUUUUUCAAUAGAUGCUGCCUGACCUGGUGUGUGUUGCUUGGUUUUACAGAAUCUGCACAUUUUCUUAUGUUUGUGAGGGCUAGAUAUGUGGUAUUCAAGACCAGAUUUAUCCAAGAAGCCCAGGAACAACCUAUGGAAGAGUAGUUUAAGAGUGGGAAAAUAAAACAUCUCUGUUUGAAGUUACGGGCAGCAUUGGCAGUUUUCAAACAAUUACAUCCUACAAGGUGAAGCUUACCAUCAUGAACGGCUGUGUUGUUUCCCUCCCAGUUGAGCUAAAUGCCUUGGAUGCACACUUUGAAAGGGAGAAUAUAAUGACGUGCGCAAAUCCCUGCAUUAUCUGGUGACCCGGCAAUCUCUGUCUUGAAUGCUGAUGUCAGGUUAUCUUUCAAGAGAGUGAAUGUUCGCAAGGCGUCAAGCCCUGAUGGUGUACCCAAAAGGGCACUGAAAACCUGUGCCAACCAACUGAUGUGAGUGUUCAAAGACAUCUUCAGUCUGAAUGGACAAUGAACCUAUGUAUGCUACCUCACUACUUUUUCUUUUGAUUUUUUUGCACUAUUUAUUUAUUGUAAUUUACUGUUUUUAUUAUUAUGUAUUGCAUUGUACUGCUGCUGCAAAACAAAUUUUACAACAUAUGCCAGUGAUAUUAAACUCUGGACAAGGGGAUCAGGGAGUACAUGAUCCCUGCAGAAAGUCAGAAGUGGGGUGGAGAAGGGAGUUAAAGAUGUGCUUAGAAGUAGGAUGUGGUUGAAAAUGGCGGAAUUUGUGAAGAAUGGUGUACUAGAUGCAGAGGAUCAUAAGGUGGUAGAUAAGGACAAGAGGAACUCUAUCCCUGUUACGGCAACUGUUAUAGAUGUUCUAUUUAGAACAUCUGAGAUGUCCUCCUCCAUCAAUGAAUGGGAUUUCCCUUCCUCUACUAUUGAUGCUCCUCCAUUUCCAAAACCUCUGCCCUCACCCCAUCUUUCAGCUGCCAUAACAGGGAUAAAGUUUCCAGUCAUUUCUCCCCCUUCCCCCUUCUCUCUUUUUCUAUUCUCCAUUCUGACUCCCAUCUUACCCUGUCUCCUUACCUGUCUGUCACUUCUGGGCCCCUCCUCCUUUCUUUUCUCCUAUGGUUCACUCUCCUCUCCCAUCAGAUUCCUUCUUCAACUCUUUACCUUUUCCACCUGUCACCUCCCAUUUAAUCUCCCCUGCGCCACUCACUAACCUUUCCUCCCACUCGGCUUCACCUAUCACCGGCCAGCUCAAACUCCUUCCCACCCCUCACUUUCUGGCUUCAUCUGCAUUCCUUCCCAGUGCUGAUUAAGUGUUGACCCAUUGAUGCUGCCUGACCUGCUGAUUUUCUCCAGCAUUUUGUGUGCUAUUACGUAUUCACAAGAUUGCUGUCAUUACUCAUGUUAGGACAGAGAAGAGGCUGUGAAAUUGUAAUACCAGAGAGGAGUGGAACUUGUGAGAGCCAAUAGUUAGGCAAUGGUCAGCAGUAGACUGUAGUUCUAAUUCUUCUGUUUAGAUGGACAAAUAAUCAGGAGGUCAGCUGUUCACUGCUCAAGGUCUCCCUCCUCAACGAGAAACUGGCUGGAUGAUGAGUCUUGAAAAGGAUAAUGUGUCUUUAAUGGAAAUAUAGAUUCCAGUUACAACAAAGGAUGUGUGACACCAUAUUUCUGAGUACAUGUAAUGGAGUUUAAAGUAGGCUGUAUUUAUGAAAAUCAUUACAAUUAAAAUUGUUU